rnacentral:rRNA from 1 species
AUUGAACGCUGGCGGCAUGCUUUACACAUGCAAGUCGAACGGUAACAGGCCGCAAGGUGCUGACGAGUGGCGAACGGGUGAGUAAUGCAUCGGAACGUGCCCAGUCGUGGGGGAUAACGCAGCGAAAGCUGCGCUAAUACCGCCUACGAUCUAUGGAUGAAAGCGGGGGACCGUACGGCCUCGCGCGAUUGGAGGGGCCGAUGUCAGAUUAGGUAGUGGGUGGGGUAAAGGCUCACCAAGCCAACGAGCUGUAGCUGGUCUGAGAGGACGACCAGCCACACUGGGACUGAGACACGGCCCAGACUCCUACGGGAGGCAGCAGUGGGGAAUUUUGGACAAUGGGCGCAAGCCUGAUCCAGCAAUACCGCGUGCAGGAAGAAGGCCUUCGGGUUGUAAACUGCUUUUGUACGGAACGAAACGGCUCUGGUUAAUACCUGGGGCUAAUGACGGUACCGUAAGAAUAAGCACCGGCUAACUACGUGCCAGCAGCCGCCGUAACAC